GCUGACGAGUGGCGGACGGGUGAGUAAUGUCUGGGAAACUGCUGAUGAGGGGGAUAACUACUGGAAACGGUAGCUAAUACCGCAUAACGUCGCAAGACCAAAGAGGGGGACCUUCGGGCUCUUGCCAUCGGAUGUGCCCAGAUGGGAUUAGCUAGUAGGUGGGGUAACGGCUCACCUAGGCGACGAUCCCUAGCUGGUCUGAGAGGAUGACCAGCCACACUGGAACUGAGACACGGUCCAGACUCCUACGGGAGGCAGCAGUGGGGAAUAUUGCACAAUGGGCGCAAGCCUGAUGCAGCCAUGCCCGCGUGUAUGAAGAAGGCCUUCGGGUUGUAAAGUACUUUCAGCGGGGAGGAAGGGAGUAAAGUUAAUACCUUUGCUCAUUGACGUUACCCGCAGAAGAAGCACCGGCUAACUCCGUG
rnacentral:rRNA from 1 species